rnacentral:rRNA from 1 species
GUGUCAGCAGCCGCGGUAAUACGGAGGGUGCAAGCGUUAUCCGGAUUCACUGGGUUUAAAGGGUGUGUAGGCGGGCAUUUAAGUCAGUGGUGAAAUCUCCGAGCUCAACUCGGAAACUGCCAUUGAUACUAUUUGUCUUGAAUAUCGUUGAGGUUGGCGGAAUAUAUCAUGUAGCGGUGAAAUGCUUAGAUAUGAUAUAGAACACCGAUUGCGAAGGCAGCUAACUAAGCGAUGAUUGACGCUGAGGCACGAAAGCGUGGGGAUCAAACAGGAUUAGAUACCCUGGUAGUCC